GCCGCAAACAUCCGUGCGGUAUAGCGUGAAUAACCCUGUAUAUAUGUAUAUCAAUAAAUCAAUCGUUUUCCGCUUUACGCAAUUUUCGAAUCCAUUAUCGACUAUCGUAUUGCACAAAUAAUUCGAGAUGUUUUUAAAAGUUAAUGGAAUUUUUUCGAUUCUUGUCUAAUAAUUAGUUCGAUUUUCCCCAUCCAUUCAUUGAAAGUUCAUAUUCGAAAAAUACUCGAAAAAAAAACAAUUUAUAACAUUUUUCCGCACUGUCCAGUAACCUCUUAAAAGGAAUUACCCGAAUUUUUAUCACCGCGUAUAUUGUUUCUAAUGUAAAAUUUUUCAUUUAAUUGAAGGACCUUGAGGAAACAACCGAUCAAGCAUUUAAAUAUCAUUAUUUACAGAUUCGCCCAUCAUCUGUACAGGGUUAGCGAAACUCGAUGUUUUAGGUUUAGUAUAAGGAAAGUAAAAACAAUAAAAACACUCCGGAGAAAGUUUCUUAAAUGGUGUUGAGUAAAGUAUUUUAAGAGAACUUUUGAUUUUGGAAACUGAAGAGACAACAUUUUUUGCAAGAAAAAAGUUUAUCGUUCUCCGUUCAAAAAUUAUUGCUAUUAGAACAAGUAUCGGAAAAAAUUCGCAGUCAUCUUAAUGAUUUAAAAAAAUUAACAUUCACCUUUAAUUUUACAUAUUAUAUAGAAUAAUGAAUUUAUUAUAGUACAUCCCAGAUAAACCAGGUCAGUUUGUGGAUCUAGACACAGCUGAAAUUGUUGGAGAACACACUGGAAUUCACAAAUGGACAUUAGGUCAAAGAUCGAGACUAGAAAGCUUACCUGAGCCAUUCUUUAUUUGUGGAAAAAAUGUCGAAAAUAAUAUAAUCUACGUUGUUCAAGGAACAAACCAUCCGUCUCUAUACUCCACUCUAUGUUCCACAUCCGAUGCUCACUGGAUUCACUCGGACCCUCAGGAAUUGCAAAACAACAAAGUAUUGAACUGUGACUUCAAAUUUCAGCACACACAGAAUCGUGUUAAGUGUAAAUUGUGCAAAUUGAGCACUGGGCUGGUUGUAAAGUUAGAAACUCCUCUGCGCGCUCUCACACCGGGGCAAUACGCAGUGUUUUAUAACGGCCAAGAAUGUUUAGGGAGCGCUAGAAUUGUGAACGUUGGACCGUCGAAUUUUAUUUUAAAUUAUCCAUUGGAGGUUCGCAGUAAUGAUACAGAAAACUGUAUAGAAAAAAGUCAUAAGUUUGUUAGAAAUCGGAGAAAAGUUGGAAAUAAAAUAGCUAGUAGUUCCUAA